AGAAUUUCUUACGGAAUCAUGAAAUUCUUCUAGUCCGGCAUCUGCAGCGUGCCAACUGUGUGCCAGCACUACAGCUGAGCCAGGCGAGGAACGUUCAUCUCAUGAACGAUUGUGAUCCUCGCUGGGGGCAGGGGGCAGCUGCCAGAAAUUCUCUGUCAGCAAAACAUGGCAAGAUCCUUCCUCGAGGUCAGAGGCAGCUGGCUGUAGAGAGAGCCAAGCCUUACCAUCUGCCUUCAUCCGGACCAAGAGGAGCCGCAAGACCAAAGCCAUUCUCAACAGUAACAGGACAAGCUAAUGCAGGAGAUGUGCCUCCAAGAGCACCUUUCAGCAGUCGUGUACUGGCCAAAGUUAGAGAGUUAUGGGUUUCCAUCGCAGGAAUGCUGUUCUCACCAAAGCAGUCAAGAGAAUGAGUGCCUUUGAGAUUCCUGGAGAGAAAUGUUCUGCGGUUCCUUGUGAAUUACAGCUGUUCCUCAAAUAAAAAGCGUUUUCC